AUUGAACGCUGGCGGAAGGCCUAACACAUGCAAGUCGAGCGGAGCGGCGGACGGGUGAGUAAUGCCUAGGAAUGUGCCUGGUAGUGGGGGAUAACGUCCGGAAACGGGCGCUAUUUCCGCUUACUAUCUGAUGAGCCUAGGUCGGAUUAGCUAGAUGGUGGGGGAAAGGCCUACCAAGGCGAAGAUCCGUAACUGGUCUGAGAGGAUGAUCAGUCACACUGGAACUGAGACACGGUGCAGACUCCUACGGGAGGCAGCAGUGGGGAAUAUUGGACAAUGGGCGAAAGCCUGAUCCAGCCAUGCCGCGUGUGUGAAGAAGGUCUUCGGAUUGUAAAGCACUUUCAGUUGGGAGGCGUUACCAACAGAAUAAGCACCGGCUAACUUCGUGCCAGCAGCCGCGGUAAUAC
rnacentral:rRNA from 1 species